UACGAAGGGGGCUAGCGUUGCUCGGAAUCACUGGGCGUAAAGCGCACGUAGGCGGCUUUUUAAGUCAGAGGUGAAAUCCUGGAGCUCAACUCCAGAACUGCCUUUGAUACUGGAGAGCUGAGUCCGGGAGAGGUGAGUGGAACUGCGAGUGUAGAGGUGAAAUUCGUAGAUAUUCGCAAGAACACCAGUGGCGAAGGCGGCUCACUGGCCCGGUACUGACGCUGAGGUGCGGAAAGCGUGGGGAGCAAACAGGG
rnacentral:rRNA from 1 species